AGUACUAGAACGUGCACUAGGGGCAGGCGGGGGGGGAGAAGGGUGCCUGUGACAAAGACUCCCCAACAAUAGUCAUAUAUAUUUGUUGUAUGGUUGGCCUCCUGCAGUAUCAUCCUUGUCCACGAGACCAAACUCACUCAUUAUUUAAACUUUAAAGAAAAAUUCAACUCCUUAAUUUGUUUAUUCCCAUUUCCUUCCUUCCAAGUUCAAGUUCCAACUUAACUUUAAUUUUCACACCCACCACACCAUACUCUUCUCUUCUCUUCUCCGAAGUCCUUAACCUAACUAGUACUAGUUAAAAUAUAUACGCCUAUGGGGAUGGGGUGGCUUCAGUCCCUCGUCUCCCCACUGAAGAAGCUCUGGGAUCGUCUACACUCGACCCACAGAAAGCGUAGAGGGAUAUAUAUCUUGUACAAGGAUGUGAGAUCCUGUCCAUGCGAAGAUGUGCAUGUCCUCUGGUCCAUACUGGUUGAAUCACACACUACACCACCACCAGCUGCUGCAGCGUUGCCAUCAAAAUGAAAUUUAGUUUCUUCUUCUUCUGUGGAUGUGGUCGUCCUAUUAUUAACAUAAGCUCCAAAAAUAAGAUGAUCUUUUUAUUUUCUUGUAUGUACAUAUGAUUAUAUUUUCACUACCUUCACCUUAUCUAUGAUUACAUAGACGUUGAUAAUCUUAUGAUA